GAUGAACGCUGGCGGCGUGCUUAACACAUGCAAGUCGAGCGAAGCAGUUAAGAAGAUUCUUCGGAUGAUUCUUGACUGACUGAGCGGCGGACGGGUGAGUAACGCGUGGGUGACCUGCCCCAUACCGGGGGAUAACAGCUGGAAACGGCUGCUAAUACCGCAUAAGCGCACAGAGCUGCAUGGCUCGGUGUGAAAAACUCCGGUGGUAUGGGAUGGGCCCGCGUCUGAUUAGGCAGUUGGCGGGGUAACGGCCCACCAAACCGACGAUCAGUAGCCGGCCUGAGAGGGCGACCGGCCACAUUGGGACUGAGACACGGCCCAAACUCCUACGGGAGGCAGCAGUGGGGAAUAUUGCACAAUGGGGGAAACCCUGAUGCAGCGACGCCGCGUGAGCGAAGAAGUAUUUCGGUAUGUAAAGCUCUAUCAGCAGGGAAGAUAAUGACGGUACCUGACUAAGAAGCCCCGGCUAACUACGUGCCAGCAGCCGCGGUAAUACGUANGGGGCAAGCGUUAUCCGGAUUUACUGGGUGUAAAGGGAGCGUAGACGGCAAGGCAAGUCUGAUGUGAAAACCCAGGGCUUAACCCUGGGACUGCAUUGGAAACUGUCUGGCUCGAGUGCCGGAGAGGUAAGCGGAAUUCCUAGUGUAGCGGUGAAAUGCGUAGAUAUUAGGAAGAACACCAGUGGCGAAGGCGGCUUACUGGACGGUAACUGACGUUGAGGCUCGAAAGCGUGGGGAGCAAACAGG
rnacentral:rRNA from 1 species